GAAGAAACUUAUAAUA
rnacentral:sRNA from 1 species